rnacentral:rRNA from 1 species
CUUCUUUGCUGACGAGUGGCGGACGGGUGAGUAAUGUCUGGGAAACUGCCUGAUGGAGGGGGAUAACUACUGGAAACGGUAGCUAAUACCGCAUAACGUCGCAAGACCAAAGAGGGGGACCUUCGGGCCUCUUGCCAUCGGAUGUGCCCAGAUGGGAUUAGCUAGUAGGUGGGGUAACGGCUCACCUAGGCGACGAUCCCUAGCUGGUCUGAGAGGAUGACCAGCCACACUGGAACUGAGACACGGUCCAGACUCCUACGGGAGGCAGCAGUGGGGAAUAUUGCACAAUGGGCGCAAGCCUGAUGCAGCCAUGCCGCGUGUAUGAAGAAGGCCUUCGGGUUGUAAAGUACUUUCAGCGGGGAGGAAGGGAGUAAAGUUAAUACCUUUGCUCAUUGACGUUACCCGCAGAAGAAGCACCGGCUAACUCCGUGCCAGCAGCCGCGGUAAUACGGAGGGUGCAAGCGUUAAUCGGAAUUACUGGGCGUAAAGCGCACGCAGGCGGUUUGUUAAGUCAGAUGUGAAAUCCC